UACAGAGGGUGCAAACGUUGUUCGGAAUCACUGGGCAUAAAGCGUACGUAGGCGGCCCCGUAAGUGUCGGAUGAAAUCCCACGGCUUACCCGUGGAACGGUCCGGCAUACUGCGGGGCUAGAGGAUGGUAGAGGAGAGCGGAACUCUUGGUGGAGCGGUGAAAUGCGUAGAUAUCAAGAAGAACACUUAGGGCGUAGGCAAGACUCUGGACAAAUGCUGACGCUCAUGCACGAAAGCUAGGGUAGCGAACGGG
rnacentral:rRNA from 1 species